UCACGUUGGCGAGCCAAAAAAAUCGGUAGCUUGAUUAUCUUCCCAAAAUUGAUGUCCUAUAUUGUUGUCAUAUUGAUGCAAGGCUAGAGAAGAUGUAUAAAUAUGCCUCAUCAUAUAACCUCAUUUGUGUUCAUCUUAGCAAAUCUAUUACAUAAUAAAAAAGAAAAUGGCUGGAAACUCUUUGAGGCCCGCUUUCGUGACCCUCUUUAUGUUUGCAAUCAUCUUAUUUCCAAUGGUAAUAUGCGAUGCAGCUCAGUUUGCUCAAGAAGUUGUAUGUCCUACUUGUGUAUGUUGCACGCCUAAACGACCGGGGUCUUGUUGCCAGUGUUGCGCUGCUUCCAUCGAGACACCUCCCGAGAAUGGGUCACCCAAAGCUUAGUACUGAUGUCCAUCUUUCAGAUGCUGUCGAGACCUAUGCGGGCAGCAGUAUAAUUCAUAUAUAUCAUGAAUAAUGGGAAUUUCUGCACUUUACUUACCACUUUGAUUUCUGAGAAUAAAUUAGCCUAUUUAUUUGCUAAAAUCAAAUGAAAUGAUUCAUGAAUAAAAGAAAUUCCUCGUGGAUCCA